rnacentral:rRNA from 1 species
UGCGUAGGCGGUUCACUAAGUUGGAUGUGAAAACUAUGGGCUCAACUCAUAGCUUGCAUCCAAUACUGAUGGACUAGAGUUCUGGAGGGGGUAGCGGAAUUCCUGGUGUAGCGGUGAAAUGCGUAGAUAUCAGGAGGAACACCGGUGGCGAAGGCGGCUACCUGGACAGAGUCUGACGCUGAGGCACGAAAGCUAGGGGAGCAAACA